rnacentral:lncRNA from 1 species
CAUCAGGUUCCAUUGCCAGAGGCCCAAUAGACUGCUCAAGCCCUGAAACUGACACUCACAUUCCGGGGGCCUGGUUCAGUCUUAUGUUGUUUCCCCAGGUAUCAGACUAUGGUCUUUGAGCUUCCCCUUGUUCAGGUCAGCUGUUUCUGUGUUUCUCCCCAGCAUGGUCUUGACCCCUUUGCUCAUCACUCCUCUCUCUCUACUACUGGAUUCCAGGAGUUCAGCUCAGUGCUUAGCUGUGGGUGUCUGCUUCUGCUUCCAUCAGCUACUGGAUGAAAGCUCUAGGAUGGCAUUUAAGGAAGUCAUCAAUCUCAUUACAGGGGAAGGGCAUUGAAGGUCGCCCUCAUAUAGUGGAGACCUGCGCUUUCCUGGAUGGAGAUGGAAGAGGAAGGGAUUGGGCAGAGGCUGUGGCCUGGAUGUAAAAUAAAUAGAUGAAUAAAAAAUGAAACAAAGAAAAACGGAAGUGACUAAACAGUAAGCAGAAUUACCACUGGCAUUCUGGCAUUCCCCCAAAGUAGAUUUGGGAAGGAUGGAGUCCAAAAUGUAAAAUAAACUGG